CCUACGGGAGGCUGCAGUGAGGAAUAUUGGUCAAUGGGCGGGAGCCUGAACCAGCCAAGUCGCGUGAGGGAAGACGGUCCUAUGGAUUGUAAACCUCUUUAGGCGGGGAGCAAUGCCGGGCACGCGUGCCCGGAGGGAGAGUACCCGCAGAAUAAGCAUCGGCUAACUCCGUGCCAGCAGCCGCGGUAAUACGGAGGAUGCGAGCGUUAUCCGGAUUGAUUGGGUUUAAAGGGUGCGUAGGCGGAGUUUUAAGUCAGCGGUAAAAUGUUCGGGCUCAACCCGGGCCGGCCGUUGAAACUGGGGAUCUUGAGUGGGCGAGAAGUAGGCGGAAUGCGUGGUGUAGCGGCGAAAUGCAUAGAUAUCACGCAGAACUCCGAUUGCGAAGGCAGCAUACCGGCGCCCGACUGACGCUGAGGCGCGAAAGCGUGGGGAGCAAACAGGAUUAGAUACCCGGGUAGUC
rnacentral:rRNA from 1 species